ACUUAUCGUAUCUUUAUACCAUCAUAGGCAAGAAAUAAUUUGACUGCUUACAUUUAGAAUCCUAAAAUUUCACACAUUUCAACUUCAUCCUUUCAAUUUAUCAUGAUUUUCUUCUCAAAUACACGGAUUUUGUUUUUAAGAAACCUUCUUAAAGAUACAGAGCCCUAGUAAGACCAAAAAGUUUAGAAACUAUAGCACUGAUCACGAAAAUCCAUUAGAAAUCAUUAUUUCCCCCAAUUAGGCAUCUAUCCCCUGUUUAUUGGAUAUAGAUAUACAGAAAGAAGUGCUCCUUGCGACUGAUUAGGUGUUCUAUUGCCAUCUUAUCUUACGUUGCGUUUUUGUGUUUCUUAAAGUAACUCUUCAUCACAAAGAAAACCUUUAAGAAAUUUUUAUACUAAAAUCAACAAUGAAUUUAAGAAGCUGGGUGUCAAUCUUAAAAAGUUGUGUAUAUCUGAAAAUCAUUUUCUUAAUAGAACAAGAUUUUUGUAUGAGAACCAUUUUUGGGUUAUCAAAGAUCCUUUUAUGGACGUUUCCAAUUUUUCUGCUGGUCCAGGGUUCUAGGGACGUGUUAAUGGCUUUUUUUAUAGAGAAAUUAGUGCUGUACUUGGUAAUGCUGAAUUAAAAUACCAGCUGAAAUUAGGACGAAUGAAGAUUAACAAAGUACCUUGAUAUUACUGUUCACUGCAGAUACAUAAACGGCCAGUUGAAGGCAGAAAAUAUAUCCUUAAGUCAUGCUUACAAGAAGGUCACAUUACUACUGUUAGCAUUGUUUCCAAACAUUUACGUUUGAUUUGUCAGUGUCGAGUUUUGUUGAUUUAAGUUUGAUAUCCCGCCACGCUUAUUUGGAUAACCGAGUACUGUUUCCUAAAACAAAUUUGGGUUGCUUUUAAAAAGGUGGAAACGCCAUAUUUUAUAUGUUGAUAUCACCUGUGAGGUUUGUCUGUCUUGCUCUUUACCUUCAUUUGAGGAGUCUGGUCAAUAUUUACAACCGCCUAUCAAUUUUUACUUUAAAAAUUGUCCUUUGCAAACCAAAAUCUAACAGAGUAACAUUAUUCCAUAUGCUCAUAUUUCCAAGCCAUUUGCGACAAUGGUAAAACCUUUGUUCCACAUUUCUUUUGCAUUGCUUAGUUUGAAUCAUUAGGUUAAAGUUUUAAAUCCACUCACACUGUUGAACUUUACUUCUUUUUAAUUGAAUUUAAAUUUUUUUUUACGGCAGCAUUAAUUCAUGCGUUAAUUGGCAAUGCAAACAUCGAAAAAUGAUCUUUAUUUCUUUUCAUACUUACGUUGACUACCAAUUACUUUUAAAGAUAUUUGAAAAAAUGUUUGAAGAUAAAGAACUGCAGAUGUGUGGAUAAAUUUUGGUUUAAAUGUUUCCAUUUUCUCUGGGAAACAUUUUCUGAGAUCAUGGAAAGAAUGUGGUAGCAAAAACCAUAGGAAAUAGGGGGCUCAAAAUUUUCUAAACUUUCAAAAAGUGUCAAUUUAAGAUAAUACUGUAUUCCUAAACACUCGUUCUUAGCUAUUGCAUAAUAUCAGUUUUUGAAGACGUUGGAGCAGUGCUUUUUCCACCUUAGCAGAAAAUUUUUACUCUAACCUUAUAGCUGACCUCAAUAUAUUUUCCCCCACUAGAUUUCUGGCGUGUCUCAGCGUGCUCUUACGGUUGUCACACGAGACACGCUCAAUAAAAUAAUUGGAAACUCUAAACUUUCUCAGUAUCAUAGAUCUAAUCAGGACAUAACGUUAAGAUUGUCUUUGCUCUCCUGUCAGAAGCUGACUUGUUGGAAUUUGACAAAGAACAAAAUUCUUUGCGAUGGAAGUAACAUCCUAACAGUUGAAAGUUCUCUUUCAAGCUAAUCAUAGAUUUAUCAUAAAACAGCAUUUCCACGCAAAUUUUUGCGAUAUUUCCCCUCCUUCAGUGCAAAUUUCUGCAAGCUGAGGACCGGCUAUCAUUAGGGUCAUAUUACAGGCUCACCCAGGCCUAGGAAAGCGUUCUGCAACAAUGCAGGCUACCUGGUGUGUGCCAAUCGCGUUGAGGUGAAUUAUUACGUCACCUUAGCUGAAAAGAACUUGCAAAAAAAUUAUUCGAACUUUUUCUUAAUCUUUUUAACUCCUGCAAAUUCAAUAUUUGCAGCACCUAUUAUUUUAGUCAUUUUCCCCGAUUGGUUUUAUCUGUUACUAAUUGCAGCAAGGUUGUCAUUUUCAAAGACUUUUAACUUUUUCAGACAUUUUCUUUUUGUUGCUGCUCGUCCCCUGUGUGCCAAGGGCAUCUAACGCAAUUGUGUACUGUUUAGUUUCUCUUGAGGGCCUUUCUUCCUGCUACCUGCAAAUCCUUUUCAUUCAAUUUCAGAAAGCCAUUUUCUUCCAGAAUACAAUUGAUAUUUAUGAAUUAUUUUUAUAUUAUUGCUAUUUUGCACGGUUUAGGAAUUCUCUUUUUAAGAAGCAAAAUAUAUUUUCAAUAUCCUUUUUUCUAUGUUUUCCUGGUUGCAAAGAUAUCCUUCCGUUCAGGCGUUGGUUUAUUGAAAAGAAAGGGGCCUUUUUUAUUUUCCAGAGAGAAUGGCCGUAACAAGAUCACUAGGUGUUGUUCCAAAUCAUAACGUCUGUUGUUUCAUGGAAAACAAAGCUUUGUUGCUUGUGCUUUAUCUUUGCCAUAAAAAGUAAUAAUUCUUUCUGAAAUAGUCGCCAUUAAUACCGGAUACACCCCCGUUCAACCUCCUGUUAGUCUUACAAUUGCUGCCAGGCCUGUUUAGUGACACACAAUAGCCUCGUUAUUGGAUUGUAGUGCCUCUUUCGUGUAUAUCUGUCUUUUGAUCUGUACAUUUAGCCAAUCCAGCAUGAUUUCACCUUCUUUCACGUACCCUUCCAGUCUUGCAGCUAUUGCACACUUUAUUUAUACGAAAAUACUUUAUAAGAACACAGAUGCUCGAUUUGUCAAAAAAUAUGAAUAAUCUAAGAGCAUGUUCUGCCAACUUUAAGGGGGCCUUUAAGAUGUGGAAAAUUAAACGAUAGAAGUUUUUUUCUUCAAAAUUUUUACUAAUGUUAGCAAAACACAGCCGAUUUCAUAGCUGGCCAAUCGUGGAACUAAUAACGUUACGCAGCUCUGUUAUUUGGUGGUCCAAAAAACAAUUCAUCAAUAUAUUAAUGUUGAAAUAUGUACAACAUUGAGAGGCCCCAGACCUUAAAUUAUCCCAACAAAAAUCUCGUUCUUUAAAAAAAGGGUGCAGUUCAGGUAGGGAAAGUAAUACUUUUAGGAAAUUUUAAGCUGCUAACGAGCGCUGGAUAAUAGACAUUCAGUAAAAAUAGGAAUUUUCAAUACUCUAAGCAAAAUUAUGAACAAUAGAAUUAUGAAAAAAGUAGAGCUCUUGCAUUUUGUGAUUAUGUUAAAGUGUUUGGCUAAUUUGCAAGAAACUUUAGACGCAAACUUCUACUAUCUUCAAAAGCAUGCAAAAAAAAAUAGGGGCUCUUAUUUUAAAAAUUUAGGACAUUGAAAUUAAAAACUUGUAACAAAUAAAGAGUAUCGAGUACCUAAAUUUGCCACAGCCUUAAGAAAAUGGAUACCCAAUAUCAUUCAAUUUUUCGAAAGAGAGCUUUUCUAGUCAGGAAUUUUUUCACACAGGAGACGGUUUCACUGGUCUUGUUACACUGGGUAGUUAAUAAGAAUAAUGUUUUGCUUCCCUCCCCCUUACGGAAAAAACUAUUAAAUGUUUUAUGAUAGAUAUGCGAAGGAGACUUUUCCUGUCCUCCAAAAAUAUGCUUCAGCUGAUGCGAGUUUAUUCACAGUAGUUAACUUUUUCUUUUGAAUGCAAGAACUGAAAUUUAAAAUGUAUGAAACUUGCCUUGUUGCCUAGUCACAUUAAACUUUCUUCCACCACAGCUACAAAGUGGAUUUAUAAGUUUAAUAUUUAUCCACUUUAUUGUGUUAAUAGUUAUUCAAAAACUCUCUUCUAAGUUCAAAAUUUCCCCGUAAUGCGUAGUUUUAAAGGUUGUUCACUGACUUUUUCUAGAUAUCAUCUGAAACAUCUGACAGAGAAGGGAUGGAUAAAGGGCCUCUUCUAACCAAAGGAAACGAAAACAUUUCAGUGAAGUUGUGGAGAUACGACCAACCGUAAGGAGAAGGACUGGAACGAAGGUGAUCAUGAAAUCCAAGAAGUAACGCCUGAAGAAUGUAAACCACGGUUUUGCCUUCAAAACGCCCAUAUUUAACAAGUACUAAAGUGUACUAAAUGGAAACCGAGAAAAAUUGCCAACUGUGAUGUCCCAAACAGCAAUCCAGUCAUUUGACCAUGGCUCUUCAAAGUGCACGUAUGUACUACUUUUGGUAUUCGUUUCAUAUGGGAUUUUCAUCCCUGUUGUUCAAGAAUAUUUCUGGUUGUACUCUGAACCUGCAUUGGCAGUUUCGGUGACAGGACUUUCAUAUACGUAGCAGCCCUCAAACAAGGACGAAAUGAUCGCUUCCUGUUACCCAUUAUGGCUGGUCGGUCUCUUGUUAUGCGCACAAUGUCUUUUGGUUGUCGGUAGGAAAACAGGGAGACACAGAAAUGAACCAGCUCUGAAAGAAUUUCCGUUGACAAGGCUCUUCAAUGUUGCGAUAAGAUCAAAUGACGCCAAUCGGUUCAUCCGGAUGAAUAUGUUGAGAGGCAAGCCUUUGGAAGUACAGUAUGAACAAACGCGAGAACAGGACUUAGACAGCAUUGAAAAGGAAAUAUUGAGAAGAAGAACAAGAUAGUCGACCUCCUAAUGAGCAAGGAAGCAUUUUCUUAGCUUUGCAAGGUGACGCUAAAACGAUUAAACGGCACUGUCCUUAUGAAUAAGUCGUAUUACUGUCCUUAUUAAUUAGCUGGGUCACUCUGAUUAGCCGUAUUGCAAACUGAUUAGGUCUGCUUUUGGGGUGGUAUUACUUUUUUAAUUCAAUUUGAUCAAACCGUGACAUAACUGCAUUUUCGCGUGAAGGCAAAGCGUCACUGAAAAGCUUAAAGUUUACUUCGUAAAAACGUUUUGUUGGAAAAUCUUUCCUCCCUCAUCUAAGAUCGUCAAAAACCAUUCAAUCAUGUUUACUUUUUGUUUGCUGUUUGUAUUUUUAAGUUAAAAUUUCGGUGUUGAGUUAUGCAAACAGCGACUCCAUGUCCAUAUCAUUCUGCAUUUCCACUUCCUUAAAUCUUUGUUUUAUUUUCUUUGCAAAAUCACAUUUAUUCCAAGCUUUGGUAAAAUUGUGCCUUUAUAAAAUUUGACUUCAUUAUUUCUUUGAGGCCAACACAAACCAGACUGCUAAAAAAGGUACGUCAUUAAGUGUUCAUGAUUGCCCACGUUCUCUGUUACUAGAAAAUCUGCUUGACAAUGUAAUGCUGAAUUGACCCAUAUAAAAGCUUUUCUAGGAUUAUCUUAAUAAUUGAAAGUUGAAAUUACUCAGGAACAUAAGCACAUAAUUUUUUCACAUUUUAGGUAAAAAUUGAUGAAUGCGAUUACUAAAAAUUGCAAAUUCUGAAUACAUAAUAUUAUGUUCUCAUGUUAUAAUGUUAAAACUGCUUUAUCAGGUUUAUAAAUUUUACAAGAACGUAGAAAUAUUGAAUGUUUUUUUGCAACAUAAUUUUUUUUAAUAGUAUAAAGUUGCAACGGUGUCUUCAAAUGCAAAUUCAGACUUUUGUUGCAGACUUUUCUGCCUAAAUGUAUUCAACUAUGCACCAGAAAUGUUUUAAAAAAGGUUUUAGCGUGUUAAUUGUCUUAAGAGCUUUCUGUUUCUAGUAUUUUCGGAAAAAAUUUAGGUUUAAGUUUUUCAUCAAAAUGUAAGGCUAUAGGCUUAUAAAUUGAAGUUAUUGUUGGAGAAUUUUUGUACAUAGAUGUAUUCAAUUAUACACCAGAAAGGUACUAAAUACGUUUUAACUGUGUUAAUUGUCUUAAAGCUUUCUGAUUUAA